UCCUCCUAAUGCUCUAGUCUCUUCUCUUUCUCUCGCUCAGCGGAACACACACAUUCAGUCAGAAGACAGAGUAUACUCAUUCAUUUAUCUCAACCAGCAUGCGUUUGUAAACAGCAAUCUUCAAAUGAAAGCUCAUUCUGAGGUGCAUAGACGAAGACAUAUUUGUAUUGUAAAUACAGCUACAGCCAGGUUUCGGUACCAUCAUCUCUUCUCAACCAACAUCAGGAUAGGAUCAAGCCAAACAAAAUCCUACAAAGGAUCAACUGGAUAAAGAUUUUAUCGAGCUGUGCUGGCGGGCGGUUGGGGGCAGUGGGCUGGCAGCUGUUGCUGGUGUGCGGGGGCCCUCAGGUCUCGGCCUACCCCUAAUGGCCGGACCAGCUGUCGGAGUUCUGUCUGUAGGGGCGCGGGGCUUCAGGAGGCGGGGAGGGCAUGAGAACUUCCACCCCCCUGUCCUGGGGGGCGGGUCCCCGCCUUGUCUGCCCUCCUCUGAAAGGGGUUGAUUGAUGGCGCAGGGUUGACACCAUGCUUCCCCAACAAUUGACUCAGGAGGGACAGAGGAUGAACAGAGAGCUCGGGACCCCUCCAAGUAUUUCUCCUCUGGUUUUCAGAGGCAAAUGUGGGAUCAGUCGCAGUUAUAAUUCAGUCUUUUUUCUCAAUAUGUCUUUUAUUUGACAUUUUUUGUGAAGCAAAUGCCACUCGAAACAAUUUCAAUGCUGUCAUUGCAAUAAUUUUGUACACAAACUCAAGUUAUUUGAUUUGUAUUUGUCAGACUACACGUGCUUUAACACGGUUUUGUCGAAUGGCUUAAAUGACCCUCUGCCUUACGUUAAGAUAAGCCCCCCUCUAGCAUGAGGCCCUCUGUGCCCUCUUUCAAACACUGGUUCAAUUAACAACAGUGUGAAGAUCCACGGUGCUUCCAGGGUGGACGGCGCCUUGGCCUCAAGCGUGUGUGUCAGGUCAACAUUGGGUAUCAGCCCAAAGUCUCAGGACUGGGGCCUGCUAGCAUAGACCUGACCUUUCGUACUAAACCCCAGGAUCCUCUCUGGCUCCCUUUCAGCAAGUUGCCAGCACCUCCGUUCUCCUUUGAGAUUUACAGCCCUGCAGAGGGAGAGAGGAGGUGGAAGAGGGGGGGGGGUCACUGUCCGGCAGCUGUUCACAGGUCUUAAGUAGCUAUUUCACACGGAAACAGAGUCAUAUCUUUCUGAAUUCCUCCAGCUGGCCAGUCUCCAGCUUAGUCUGAAAUACAUUCCCGAACGGAGAUGUAUUUUGCACUUUUUGCUUCCACUCUUACUGCUUUGUGGAUGUAUGCCUCGAAACCUUCCACUGAGUCUAUGUCCACUGUUAACUUCUGUCUGAAAUGGAAGAGUCAAAUGUUCUCCAUUUGGUUGGUAACAGAGGAUCCUGAUUCUGGAGGAAGGUAUAUUCAAUUCCAUCAUUUCUCUGUGUUUUGUCCCACUAUCUUCCGGGACAAAACAUUUGAAAAAUCAUGAUGAAGUGAGAAGAAGUUCAGAUAACAAAAGAAUCCCAUAGGUAAAAAUUCGAUUUAUAUCCUUCUCCCUGUCCCUUUCCCUGCAGAGACAGUGUACACAUUCAGGAUUUAAUGGCCGUUUAGAGAGCUUGUGUGCAAGUCAAACACUUUUUCCCACAAUCCAAAGAAAGAUCCAUCAUUCACAUGUGUUUACUUUAGGCAAAAAGCCCCAGUCUCGAAGUCACUGUGUGUGUGUGUGUGUGUGUGUGUGUGUGUGUGUGUGUGUGUGCGUGCGCAUUUGUUGACGGGGGCUGCAUGUGCCUUUGUCACAAAAAGAGACAACAUCGGAAAUGUCUACAUCUAUUAAAACCUCGGAAGCCCACUUCAGUUGAAGCUAAAUCACUAACCCAGAAACCAUGAAUGAUAAAGAGAUCAUACAAUUAUGAAAAAGCAAUAAAGGAGACAAUCCAGAUCAUCAACCUAAACGCUGUGCCGCAAUUGGCUCCAAUGUCUGUCUGUAGGGGGUCUCAGCUGCUGAUUGGCCAUGACCAGUCUUGUAGAGGGUCUUCUAAUCCUCUCGACACUCUCUGUGGGUGCUCUUAGCGCUUUUCCCACAUAAAUCAGUCUGGCCUGGGUGGUAAAGUCAUCACGUCUACUGUGUCCACAAACACUGCCUGUUAGCACCCCAUCACAUGGAGCGUGCUAGCCCUGAAAAGCCACUGAGGAUAAAAAAAAAAGAGGGUGCUGGCUGACCACACUAUACAUUUAGGCUCUUACUAACUGUACUGUUGUAAUGUUAGAGAUGUUUUAUAUAAAAAAUGUGUCAAGAAAUUAAACAAAAUGUCCACCUCCACAGCUACCAUGAGCUUUAUCUUUCUUGAUUAGGCAAACUCAAAUCCUUUUAAGAAAAAUAUUACAUUGUGUUUGUCUCACUUACCCCUGUUAUACAGCACUUCACUGCUAGGUGAGUGCAAGGAAGUGUUAAAAAGGAAAUUGUUAUCAGUACACAAUUUGUCCUCUUACCAAUGUUUGGCCUUCACUUAACAGGCUUUGGUACAGUAUCAUUCACAUGCAGUUCUGUAUAAAAGCCUUUCUGUUACCAAAGUGCGUCACAAUAGUGCUUGUUAUCCCAAGGUAUCGAAUGCUCAAAGGGAAGAAUUACAGAGUGCUUUGUACAGCUGGGUUUACAAAAGGACAGGUUCUACAUUAAAUGUGUAAACUAAGAUGUCCUGAUUAAAAGUAGUCAUGCUAUUUCUUCAGAUGUACACCUACUAACAACGAGCAAUUCUAACAACUGUUCAAAGAGGAGUGUUGCUCUCUCUCCAACAGAGAACAGAGUUAUAAAUCCUGACCUGUCUCCUCCAUGUUUGUGUGAUUAGAGAAUCCCCCUGAGCCCAGCGCGAGAACUUUGUCGCUAGGGCUUCCACUCUCACACUCUCUCUCUAAAACAAACAAAAC